ACACGAAGGAAGAACUCACCGGCAGCAGGCACCGGAGCUGCGCCGAUUCACUUCACUAGCCGCGCGCCAUGCGCGAGCUUGACUGCCUAGCAGAGCUCGCCGGAGUACUACCCAACAACUCCAGAAUGACAAGGCAGCAAUCGAGAGGAGUAAAUGGGUUUGCCGCUAGCGUCACCGGUGGCCGGGGCCCCGGGGGUGUAGGAAGCAGAGCAGGCGAUCGGGUCAAGGAGGAGAAACGGCGGUGGCCGCAGGCAGCAACCCGCCUGUUCUUUGUUUAAUGGCGUGGCACAGGCGUGGAUGGUGAUGGAUUGGAUCAGGGGCGAUUUGGUGAAGAAGCUGCGGGGGGUCAGAGUCAGAGAUUGGUGGUAGGAGGAGGUCAAACAUGGCGGGACGGUGAGCACGCGGGUGGGGUCCGUUUGAUUUUGGAGACGAAGACGACGACGGGGUGUCUGUUGGCUGGCUGGAGGGGUUAGGUGUCGUUGGCGCCAUUUUGACGGCUGACCUGUGGGCCCGAUCCUUGCAGGGCCACCGGCAACCCAUAUUUGAACUUGACUUGGUCUGUUUGUGAAUUGUGAGGACGUACAUGGACAGUCAUUCAAUUCAAGGUAAGGGGGCGGAACAGCGAGCUGGUGUGGACUGGGGCCUUGUUUUUAGAUCCGUAAUGUUUUUGGAUUUUUGAUACUAUAGCACUUUUAUUUGUAUUUGACAAAUAUUAUUCAAUCA